CAGGGAUUCCCCCGUGAAAGGCUGCCGUAUUCCAAAAGCACAGGGGCCAAUGUUUAUUCCCCGGAAGAUGCUAUUCGGUCCCAUUUAGCUGGCUGAUUGGAUUUCAGCAUUCAAGGUUUGCUGUCAUCAGCGAAGACGAUCAGCUUGACGUGGCCAGUGACCUUGUUACUCGGCACCUGCUUUUAACACUGCUUGAGCUACUGUACCGGAGAAUUUGAACUUUGAGCAACUUUGGCUUCUCCUUUUCCUCGGGAAAGCGAAGGGACUUUUGGGGGUGAAAAAAAAAACAUAUAAUGUGAAAAACGGCCUGAGCAACAAAAGGUUUUCUGUGAUGUGUAAGACGUGCUGGUUGGGAUAAGGGGCUCUUUUGACAAAAUCUAUGUAAGGAGACACACGAAUCCUUACAUUAAGGAUGCAAUUAAUGAAAUUCAAGAUGGUGCCUUUUUUUCUUCUUUCACAGUUCUGCUACAAAGGCGGGGCAGCCCCCGCAAUCCUGAUGGCAUUUGAAAAGAUAUAAAAGCCGCAACAUCUCCCCAUUUUUGCAACACUGGUAGAUGUGCAAUAUUGUGCUUUGUACUGUAUGAUCGAGGAACCGCUCCACUUAUCCCCAAAGAUGCUGUGCAGGAAUAUUGUCCUCCUCUCAUUGGCGAUCCUCUUUGUGCAAGCUGAUCUUGAUCAAGAUGGGGACAAUCAAGCCAUGUCCACAGACCAAGACUCAACUUCAGAUGAAGCUCCAACAGAGAGCAUGAACUCCAUUUCUUCUGACCAGCCUAAUGAUGAACCACAGUAUUACCACGGAGGUGCAGGAGGUGCAAGCAGCACGAGCUCAGAAGUCACUAAUGAUGGACAUCAUCUUAGCAAUGGUCUAACUGGCCGUGCUGAUGGUAGCAAAUCCAGCAACGAGGACCAGGAUGAGUACCAGAGCCCAAACUCAGAGGAAGAAUACACUCCAGGAUAUACUCCAGGAUGGACUCCAG
rnacentral:lncRNA from 1 species